CAAAUUAUCCUCAUAAGUUUGACGAUAAGAGGACCCAUUAAUAUAUAAUUUAGCCAUAAUUUAUAUUAAUUAUAUGGUAUAAUAAAAUCGGAGGCCCCGACUGUUUACUAAAACACAAUUCAGAGCAAUGAUUAAUAUCAUAGUAUUCUGAAUGAAAUUUGCCCAAUGCCAUUAAUAUAAGAGAGGUAAUAGGUAACUGUUACUAAUCGAAAGUCUGGUUAAUAGCGGUCUUAACUAUGAGGAUCCAAAGGUAGCAAAAUAAAUUGGCCAUUAAAUGUGGUCUGGUAUCAAUAAUGUAACGAUGGUCUCACUGUCUCUACAACUUGCUCAGUGAAAUUGAAUUACCCGUGCAGAUGCGGGUUACCUUCAGGGGACGGGAAGACCCUAUGCAGCU
rnacentral:rRNA from 1 species